GUUGUAUUUUGAAUGUUCGAAAAUAAAAGAGCUCUAGAAUCGCCUCCUUAACUGGCUGGGUCAUAAGCGUAUCGUUGCUGACUGGGAGGAGGAGUGUGCGUGGAUUAAUAAGCUGGCGAAAAGGAGAAAUAGCUUAGCAGAAAUUACAGCAUGCCUGUUUGGGAUUUUGGUGCCGACGAUAUAGAAAGAACGGAAUAACAUGAGAUUCCAAGGUGACAGGUUGAUGAAGGAU
rnacentral:lncRNA from 1 species